AUUGAACGCUGGCGGCAUGCCUUACACAUGCAAGUCGAACGGUAACAGAUCUUCGGAUGCUGACGAGUGGCGAACGGGUGAGUAAUACAUCGGAACGUGCCCGAUCGUGGGGGAUAACGAAGCGAAAGCUUUGCUAACACCGCAUACGAUCUACGGAUGAAAGCAGGGGAACGCAAGGCCUUGCGCGAACGGAGCGGCCGAUGGCAGAUUAGGUAGUUGGUGGGAUAAAAGCUUACCAAGCCGACGAUCUGUAGCUGGUCUGAGAGGACGACCAGCCACACUGGGACUGAGACACGGCCCAGACUCCUACGGGAGGCAGCAGUGGGGAAUUUUGGACAAUGGGCGAGAGCCUGAUCCAGCCAUGCCGCGUGCAGGAUGAAGGCCUUCGGGUUGUAAACUGCUUUUGUACGGAACGAAAAGACUCUGGUUAAUACCUGGGGUCCAUGACGGUACCGUAAGAAUAAGCACCGGCUAACUACGUGCCAGCCGCCGCCGUAA
rnacentral:rRNA from 1 species